UGAGGGGCUUGCUCCUCAGUUAGUGGCGAACGGGUGAGUAAUGCAUCGGAACGUACCUUUUUGUGGGGGAUAACUACUCGAAAGAGUAGCUAAUACCGCAUACGCCCUGAGGGGGAAAGCGGGGGACUCGCAAGAGCCUCGCGCAAAAAGAGCGGCCGAUGUCAGAUUAGCUAGUUGGUAGGGUAAAAGCCUACCAAGGCGACGAUCUGUAGCUGGUCUGAGAGGACGACCAGCCACACUGGGACUGAGACACGGCCCAGACUCCUACGGGAGGCAGCAGUGGGGAAUUUUGGACAAUGGGCGAAAGCCUGAUCCAGCCAUGCCGCGUGAGUGAAGAAGGCCUUCGGG
rnacentral:rRNA from 1 species